CAAGAAAAUUUCUUAAGUCUGAUGUGAAAGCCCACGGCUCAACCGUGGAGGGUCAUUGGAAACUGGGAAACUUGAGUGCAGAAAAGGAAAGUGGAAUUCCAUGUGUAGCGGUGAAAUGCGUAGAGAUAUGGAGGAACACCAGUGGCGAAGGCGACUUUCUGGUCUGUAACUGACACUGAGGCGCGAAAGCGUGGGGAGCAAACAGGAUUAAAUACCCUGGUAGUCCACGCCGUAAACGAUGAGUGCUAAGUGUUAGAGGGUUUCCGCCCCUUAGUGCUGAAGUUAACGCAUUAAGCACUCCGCCUGGGGAGUACGGCCGCAAGGCUGAAACUCAAAGGAAUUGACGGGGGCCCGCACAAGCGGUGGAGCAUGUGGUUUAAUUCGAAGCAACGCGAAGAACCUUACCAGGUCUUGACAUCCUCUGACAACCCUAGAUAAUGACUUCCCCUUCAGGAGCAGAGUGACCGUGGGGCCUGGUUGUCCUCAGCUCGUGUCGUGAGAUGUUGGGUUUAGUCCCGGAGGAGCGCAACUCCAAACCCCCUUUUUUU
rnacentral:rRNA from 1 species